rnacentral:lncRNA from 10 species
UUCUUUCUGAGGGCCAUGAGGGAAAGAUCUGUCCCAGGCCCCUUUUGUUGGCUUGUAGAUGGCCUCAGUCUUCCCAUGUCUUCACAUCCUCUUCCCUCUGUACAGGUCUAUAUCCAAAUCUCAUCUUAGGAGGACCCCAAUAGUAUUGGAUCAGGGCCCACCCUAAUGAUAUCAUUUUAAUUCAAUGACCUCUUUAAAGACUCUAUCUCUAAAUACAGUCUCAGUGUGAGAUACUGGGAGUUAGAACCUCAAUAUGUGAAUUGGGGGACAUAGGGAACAGUUCAUCCCAUAACACCCUCUGUCUGCCUUCAUCCUUCUUGCUCAAGUCAAUUCUUGGCCACCUGGAGAUGUCAGUGGGAGCAAGGUUCUGGGGGCAGAACUGUGACGAGCUGAUGAGUGGAAAGGAGUGUUGAUGAAAGUGGAAACUCUGGAGACCAAAUGACAGCCUAAACCACUGUCCACUGAAAUGAUGGGGAUGGGCCUGUGGGGAAGGGAAGCAUUAUUAAUCAUUGCAAUUAGCCUGAGCAACAUAGCAAGAUCCUGUCUCUACAAAAAUAAAAAUAAAAAUUGCCGUGUGUGGUGGCGUGUGCCUGUAGUCCUAGCUACUCAGAAGGCGGAGGCAGGAGGAUACCUUGAGCCCAAGAAUUUGAGUUUACAGAGAGCUAUGAUUGUGCCACUGCACUCCAGCCUGGGCAACAGAGCUAGACCCUGUCUCUAAAGAUUUUUUUUUUAAUUCACUGAAAUUUACUGACUACCUUCUCAUUGCAUCCCCAUAACAGGCCUGUGAUAACAAAUUGGUGUUAUUAUCCCAUUUGUAGUUAAGAAAAAUGAUACUCAGAGUGAUUUUUAAAACAUCUGGGUUAAGGAAGCUAUGGAGCUAAGGAUCAUGGGUCCUAACUUCUCAGGAUAAGAGCCAGAUCAGGCUGGGCACAGUGACUCAUGCCUGUAAUCCCAGCACUUUGGGAGGCAAAGGUGGAUAGAUCACUUGAGGUCAGGAGUUUGAGACCAGCCUAGCCAACAUGGUGAAACCCUGUCUCUGCUAAAAAUACAAAAAAUUAGCUGGGCGUGGUGGUGCACACCUGUAAUCCCAGCUACUAAGGAGUCUGAGGCAGGAGAAUUGCUUGAACCCAAGAGUCAGAGGUUGCAGUGAGCCCAGAUAGUGCCACUGCACUCCAGCCUGGAUAACAGAGCAAGGCUCCAUCUCAAAAAAAAAAAAAGCCAGAUAAUUCAUUCUAUUUGUUUGGUGAUUAUGUAAAAUUAAUAACGAAGCUUUACUCUGAGUAUGAAAAUAAACAAAAACUAUUGCUAUACCCAAAAAAGUCUCUGACACACACACACACACACAUACACACACACACACAAAAGGGUAUUUCAUUCAUGCUGAACCUAUGCAAAGUGAAAUGAAGUAACUCAUCAAAAGUCACCACCUAGCAUAUGGCAGAGCUGGUGCUGAUUCAUCCAUGUUUUUUCAACAUUAGCAUGCAGAAGGGGUAACUGGAAAAAGAUCCCACUACCCCAGAGAUCUUAGAGCAGAGUUCUGGAAUGAGUAGCCUCAGC